CUGGAUAAUUGCUGCUUCGGUAGAGGAAAGUCCAUGCUCGCACAGCCUGUGAUGACUGUAGUGAUUGCGCUAGCGGAAAAAAUAACGCUAGGUAUGUAGGAGUACAUAACGGCGGGUAGACACCUAAAGGUAACCAUGGUGAAAACCCUGAAAGUGCCACAGUGACGUAGUUUAUCGGAAACGGUAAAGUGGAACGCGGUAAACCCCACAAGCGAGAAACCCAAAUUUGGUAGGGGAGGCUGGAGGAGAGAAACGAAUUAAUUCCAGCAAGCAUUGCUUAGAUAAAUAAUUAUCCUAGACAAAACAUGGCUUACAG
rnacentral:RNase_P_RNA from 1 species